UAUGCAGAAUGGGGAAUUAGACAAGGUUUCUAAUUGUGAAUUAUUGAGAAGAGUGAUGAAAUCAAGAAUCAAGACUGCUGUCAGAUGUACAACCCCAGUAACAUGGAUCAUGGAGAAACUACAUCAACAUUAGGAUGAUAUCUUUUGCGACAUGGUUUCAACAGUCACAUUUCAGGAGAAACGAAGAUCUUAAUAUUUUUCAUCCAUUCAUUCAGUAUUCACUAAGGGACAAAAAAUAAAUAAACACUAUUUCCUCAAACUCAUUUGACAGAUUUUCUUAUAUAUCUUUAUGCAAAGGUGAAAUAAGAUGUGAUCACUGGACCAUUGGUAGUGUAUGCCUUUUUCUCUCGUUGUAUUAUCCAGG
rnacentral:lncRNA from 1 species